UACGAAGGGUGCAAGCGUUACUCGGAAUUACUGGGCGUAAAGCGUGCGUAGGCGGUUUGUUAAGUCUGUCGUGAAAGCCCCGGGCUCAACCUGGGAAUGGCGAUGGAAACUGGCGAGCUAGAGUACGGUAGAGGAGAGUGGAAUUCCCGGUGUAGCAGUGAAAUGCGUAGAGAUCGGGAGGAACAUCAGUUGCGAAGGCGGCUCUCUGGACCAGUACUGACGCUGAGGCACGAAAGCGUGGGGAGCGAACAGG
rnacentral:rRNA from 1 species